UAAGGACGAGUCUGGAGAAUUGGAACACACUACGGACUCGAACCCAUCAACGGGAACGCGCAAUUCAGGGACACAAGGGUGGAAGUGCGGGUAUUGGGACAGGGCCUGGGUCUCACAUUCUUGUGACCAUCAGCUCUGGCUCUAAGUCCUCAGUUUUGGAUCCUGCCUCAUCCUAAGCACUCAAACCUCAGAAGAAACCCAGUUUGGUUUAAUCUCCAGCUGACAGCUCAAUACCAACUCCGCCAGACAAGCGAACCCUGCUCACCCUCCAAAUGUUCACCAAAGACUCACCAGGUAAAAUCAUCUCAGUUAAAUUAAUCCGGAUUAUUCUACUGCCUAUAGUCACCAAAGCCUCUGCAGAGUACUCACCGUCAUCCUGGAUUAUUCACCGUUUCUGCUGCAGCAUCUGUUCUGUCCUCCCAGGCUCCGCAUCAUUCCUCCACACCAACCUCUAUUCAUCAAACAUGCUGUGCCUCCAAUCCCAGUUCCAGUUCAACAUCCAUUACCUGUCAAAAUAAACUUUUCUUCUGCCUCCUGA